GCAAAAACCAUCUUUGUUUAGUAAUUGAUAUGCUAUGUUGUGUGAUAUUAUAUUAUUAUUGAUAAUUUGUUUUGAUGUUAUGCUACACUGUAUGUAACAAUAUUAUAGUAACGUUACAUGUAUGGAUUAAGUUAAAAAUGAAUGUUUGAAAUACACUGUAUAAUAGCAGAUACCAGGUGUAAUGGCUUUUAAAUUUCUGUAUUAUUUGGUAGCUCGAGUUGAGGGCAUCAAGAACAUACCGAUGGCCCAAACCAGUGUCCGAUUGGACAGACAAGAAUGCUGUUGUAGAUGCCUGACUACUACUGUGUUCUCUAAAGAUGUACUCCUAACCAGAGGUGCACUACGCAGCAUUGAAUGGAAAAAGCUUUGCCCAUGUGUAAGUUUGCUAAGUUACUUUUUUUGUCAAGAUUCUUUUUGCUUUGGUUGGUAAUGUUCUGUUUAUAAUUGCCUGUGUUCACAAACCAGUUUUUGUCCUUGUUUGUUUAUUGACAAUUAUACUAUGUUCUGGUAUGUUCUUUGUUUUCCUCCAUGUCUUCAUUCCUCUCGGAUUACAGCAGUUUACUCAUAGCAGUACCUAAUUGGGUGUGGUUUGUAUGUUUUCUGGAAGCUUGAGUUGAGGGCAUCAAGAACAUACCGAUGGUCCAAAUCAGUGUCAGCCUGGACAGACAUCCAUUGCAGUUCUUCUACACCACACUAAUCUCUACUUUUGUAUGGCUGCCUGACUACUAUGCUGUUCCUUGAAGGUAUUACUGGAGCAAAACAACAGCAGUGAAAUUUGUGGUUAUAAAGCAUUGUGAUAUAUGUGUUACAGGUCCAGUACAUUUGUCAUAAAGUUUAAGUCAAAAAAGAAAAAAAGUUAUUUUUAGGAUUUGCAAAAGUGUUUUUGUUUUCCCUUCUCUCUCCAAACCAAAUAUUGGUUUGUGUUCGUUUUAGUUGUUUUGAUGGGAUAUUUGUCUCAUUUGCCAUGAAGGUAUAGCUCCCUCUUUCUCCAUAUACAGCAAUGGUCCCAAGAUCUUCAAAGUCUAACUAAAAACUUUGUCAAAACAUUGCAUUUAUCUUCAGUAGUUCAACUGUAAUCAUACAAAGCUCAAAGAACACAUUUGUGCAUCAAAAAUACUGUAAAAGCAACUUAUUUGCCUCUGCCACAACAGGUUACGGUGUGCGCUUGCUACUCGUAGUAAACACAAACCCUGAUCUGAUGCAAGAGAGAUAUAGGCAAACAAAUUA